AACGAACGCUGGCGGCGUGCCUAACACAUGCAAGUCGAGCGAGAAAGCCCGCAAGGGUGAGUAAAGCGGCGCACGGGUGAGUAACACGUGGGUAAUCUGCCCUAGAGUCCGGAAUAACUCGCCGAAAGGCGUGCUAAUGCCGGAUGAGACCACGGGAGCCUCGGCUCCUGCGGGAAAAGGUGGCCUCUGUACACAAGCUAUCGCUCUGGGAUGAGCCCGCGGCCCAUCAGCUAGUUGGCGGGGUAACGGCCCACCAAGGCUACGACGGGUAGCUGGUCUGAGAGGACGAUCAGCCACACUGGAACUGAGACACGGUCCAGACUCCUACGGGAGGCAGCAGUGGGGAAUCUUGCGCAAUGGGCGAAAGCCUGACGCAGCAACGCCGCGUGUGUGAUGAAGGUCUUCGGAUCGUAAAGCACUGUCGCGAGGGACGAAUAAGGGUCGGGCUAACAUCCCGGCACGAUGACGGUACCUCGAGAGGAAGCACCGGCUAACUCUGUGCCAGCAGCCGCGGUAAUACAGAGGGUGCAAGCGUUGUUCGGAAUUAUUGGGCGUAAAGCGCGUGUAGGCGGCUUUGCAAGUCGGAUGUGAAAGCCCUCGGCUUAACCGAGGAAGUGCGUUCGAAACUGCCGAGCUUGAGUACCGGAGAGGGUGGCGGAAUUCCCGGUGUAGAGGUGAAAUUCGUAGAUAUCGGGAGGAACACCAGUGGCGAAGGCGGCCACCUGGACGGAUACUGACGCUGAGACGCGAAAGCGUGGGUAGCAAACAGGAUUAGAUACCCUGGUAGUCCACGCUGUAAACGAUGAGCGCUAGGUGUUGUGGGUGUUGACCCCCGCAGUGCCGCAGCUAACGCAUUAAGCGCUCCGCCUGGGAAGUACGGCCGCAAGGCUA
rnacentral:rRNA from 1 species